rnacentral:rRNA from 1 species
GACGAACGCUGGCGGCGUGCUUAACACAUGCAAGUCGAACGGAAAGGCCCUGCUUUUGUGGGGUGCUCGAGUGGCGAACGGGUGAGUAACACGUGAGUAACCUGCCCUUGACCUUGGGAUAACUUCAGGAAACUGGUGCUAAUACCGGAUAGGAGCUCCUGCUGCAUGGUGGGGUUUGGACAGUUUCGGCGGUUGGGGAUGGACUCGCGGCUUAUCAGCUUGUUUGUGGGGUAGUGGCUUACCAAGGCUUUUACGGGUAGCCGGCCUGAGAGGGUGACCGGCCAGAUUGGGACUGGGGUUCGGCCCAGACUCCUACGGGAGGCAGAAGUGGGGGAUAGUGCACAAUGGGCGGAAGCCUGAUGCAGCAACGCCGCGUGCGGGAUGACGGCCUUCGGGUUGUAAACCGCUUUCGCCUGUGACGAAGCGUGAGUGACGGUAAUGGGUAAAGAAGCACGGGCUGACUACGUG